rnacentral:snoRNA from 1 species
GGCCGGUGAUGUUAAAAAGAUAUUUGCUACUUUUGAUAGGGAUUUACAAAAUUUCCAUCUGAUGAUUCCUUAUCCACCAAGACCUCCGAGGCC